CAGAAAUUCAAUAAGAAAACAUUGUGACAAAAACUUUUUAAAACACAAUAAAACCCAAUUUUACUUCUUGCUUUUCUUACGAUUUGUUGGAGGCUUCGCUGAUUUUCAUGGUCUUAAAAAUAACACCAACUUAAGAAACUUUGUGUUUUCUUUUAUUUAUAAGCUGGUUUUGCUGAAAUAGAAUCAUUUUUGGAGAAAUCAAGACUAAAUUUUUCUAAAAUUCUCAGUAUUUACAGCAACAUUUUAUGGAUAAACACUAAUUUGUUUCAAAUGUUAACAGCGAUAUCAAUUUAUUAACAUAGUGCCAAUUUAAAGAAUACAAUUUUAGAAACAAAUGCAAAUAUGCAAGAUUUAGUCUAGUCAGAGACAUAAAUUCAAUUAUGUCUGGCCAUAGCUAGAACUUUACUUACUCCACUUUAACUGAAAUAAUCAUUUCUUACUAAAUAUUGUUUAACUCCGCUUAUUCAAUGGGAUUUGCGUUCAAUGGGAAAAGCUGCAUUAAAAUACCACCAAAAAGAUGGGGAGAAUAUUGAUUUUGUCAUUAUCGUUAUAAUACCUCGAAACAUUCAUCUGAUAACCAACAAAAACUAUAUAUUCUGGGUUUUUACAAAAUCUUUAGAUGAUCUAUCCCUGUCCACCCGUCUGUCUACCUAUUAAAAGCACGAUAGGACCCAAACCAAAGGAGCCAGCUUUCUGAACAUUAAUAAUUUUCUUAUAAUAAUUAUUACUGAUAAAAUUAGACAUAAACAAGUUUUAUAUGAACUCUAAUCAUUCUACCAGCUUUUGUGAGUAACCCCAUCAUCAGAAAAAUAUUUUAUUGUUACAUAUUGAUGAUGGUUAUACAAGAUUCGGCACAGCCAAAUACAAAAUUCUUAC